rnacentral:rRNA from 1 species
GGUAAUGCCGGAUGCUCCAUCACACUGCAUGGUGUGUUGGGAAAGCCUUUGCGGCAUGGGAUGGGGUCGCGUCCUAUCAGCUUGAUGGCGGGGUAACGGCCCACCAUGGCUUCGACGGGUAGCCGGCCUGAGAGGGCGACCGGCCACAUUGGGACUGAGAUACGGCCCAGACUCCUACGGGAGGCAGCAGUGGGGAAUAUUGCACAAUGGGCGCAAGCCUGAUGCAGCGACGCCGCGUGAGGGAUGGAGGCCUUCGGGUUGUAAACCUCUUUUGUUAGGGAGCAAGGCAUUUUGUGUUGAGUGUACCUUUCGAAUAAGCACCGGCUAACUACGUGCCAGCAGCCGCGGUAAUACGUAGGGUGCAAGCGUUAUCCGGAAUUAUUGGGCGUAAAGGGCUCGUAGGCGGUUCGUCGCGUCCGGUGUGAAAGUCCAUCGCUUAACGGUGGAUCCGCGCCGGGUACGGGCGGGCUUGAGUGCGGUAGGGGAGACUGGAAUUCCCGGUGUAACGGUGGAAUGUGUAGAUAUCGAAA